rnacentral:tRNA from 1 species
GCGCAGGUGGCAGAGCGGUCAAAUGCACGAGGCUGUAAACCUCGCGCCCUUACGGGCUACGCAGGUUCGAAUCCUGCCCGGCGCA